rnacentral:rRNA from 1 species
UACAGAGGUCCCAAGCGUUGUUCGGAUUCACUGGGCGUAAAGGGUGCGUAGGUGGUGGGGAAAGUUCGAUGUGAAAGCUCCGAGCUUAACUCGGAAAUGGCAUUGAAAACUACCUUGCUCGAGGGUUGGAGGGGGGACUGGAAUUCUCGGUGUAGCAGUGAAAUGCGUAGAUAUCGAGAGGAACACCAGUGGCGAAGGCGAGUCCCUGGACAACUCCUGACACUGAGGCACGAAAGCUAGGGGAGCAAACAGG